UACGAAGGGGGGCUAGCGUUGCUCGGAAUCACUGGGCGUAAAGGGCGCGUAGGCGGCGCGACAAGUCACUUGUGAAAUCUCCGGGCUUAACUCGGAACGGUCAAGUGAAACUGUCAUGCUAGAGUGCAGAAGGGGCAAUCGGAAUUCUUGGUGUAGCGGUGAAAUGCGUAGAUAUCAAGAGGAACACCUGAGGUGAAGACGGGUUGCUGGGCUGACACUGACGCUGAGGCGCGAAAGCCAGGGGAGCAAACGGG
rnacentral:rRNA from 1 species